rnacentral:rRNA from 1 species
UACGAAGGGUGCAAGCGUUACUCGGAAUUACUGGGCGUAAAGCGUGCGUAGGCGGUUUGUUAAGUCCGUUGUGAAAGCCCUGGGCUCAACCUGGGAAUUGCAGUGGAUACUGGCGAGCUAGAGUGCGGUAGAGGCUGGUAGAAUUCCCGGUGUAGCGGUGGAAUGCGUAGAGAUCGGGAAGAAUACCUGUGGCGAAGGCGGCCAGCUGGGCCAGAUCCGACACUGAGGCGCGAAAGCGUGGGGAGCAAACAGGG